CCUACGGGAGGCUGCAGUGAGGAAUAUUUGUCAAUGGACGAGAGUCUGAACCAGCCAAGUAGCGUGAAGGAUGACUGCCCUAUGGGUUGUAAACUUCUUUUAUAUGGGAAUAAAAUGUUCCACGUGUGGGAUUUUGUAUGUACCAUAUGAAUAAGGAUCGGCUAACUCCGUGCCAGCAGCCGCGGUAAUACGGAGGAUCCGAGCGUUAUCCGGAUUUAUUGGGUUUAAAGGGAGCGUAGGUGGAUUGUUAAGUCAGUUGUGAAAGUUUGCGGCUCAACCGUAAAAUUGCAGUUGAAACUGGCAGUCUUGAGUACAGUAGAGGUGGGCGGAAUUCGUGGUGUAGCGGUGAAAUGCUUAGAUAUCACGAAGAACUCCGAUUGCGAAGGCAGUUCACUGGACUGCAACUGACACUGAGGCUCGAAAGUGUGGGUAUCAAACAGGAUUAGAUACCCUUGUAGUC
rnacentral:rRNA from 1 species